rnacentral:rRNA from 1 species
UACAGAGGGUGCAAGCGUUGUUCGGAAUUAUUGGGCGUAAAGCGCGUGUAGGCGGCUUUGCAAGUCGGGUGUGAAAGCCCUCAGCUUAACUGAGGAAGUGCGCCCGAAACUGCAGAGCUUGAGUACCGGAGAGGGUGGCGGAAUUCCCCAAGUAGAGGUGAAAUUCGUAGAUAUGGGGGAGGAACACCGGUGGCGGAGGCGGCCACCUGGACGGAUACUGACGCUGAGACGCGAAAGCGUGGGUAGCAAACAGG